rnacentral:siRNA from 1 species
UUGUAGUAUUUUAGGUUGUCA